rnacentral:lncRNA from 1 species
ACCCCUCCCGCCCUAGGGCUCUUUCCUGGACUGCGGCUGCAGCCUUCUCUUCCCGGAGGGCUCAGAGUUCGUCCCCUUUUCGCGAUUGGGAACGUGGACACGCCGGAGCCUGGAUGCAGAAGGGCGCGCGGGAACAGGGAGCUGGUGCGCGAGCCGCAGCCCAGCGUCCAGGCCGCCCCACUCUCUGCUGAUCCAAAGGACUAGGGAAACCCUGCGCGCCGACGGUGGCCUGGACGUUGGCGCGGGCCCUGGCGCUAAAAAACGGAUCCCAUUUCCAGAAAGGCGGGCCGGGUAUCCCGCUCCUGCCUCCUGGAGAAUUAGCUCGGCGGAGGUCGACCAGCCGGGUAGGGAGGGAGGGAUGGAGGGACAGGCCUAGGGUCGACCAGCCGGAUAGGGAGUAGCUUCUGGGAGCUCCCUUGCCUACGGAGGGCCGGUGAGGCUGCCCUCAGAGCGCCGCCAGGGAAACCUGGUCUUGGCUUCUGCUGCGCGCCGGGUGUCUAGGAACGAAUCCCUCCUGGAUCCGGGAACCCCAGAUUUGCGGGUUAGCUGCAGCUGAGCCAGAAGCGUCCCCACUGGCUUACCCGAUAGUGGGAUUUUACACGGUGUCGGCUAAGGGUGGCUUUGUGAGAAGACCAUUUCAGAAGAAGAAACGGGGCUCUGGCUGGUGGGGUAGAAACCCCUAUGGAAUGAAAAGUACUCCCAGUCUCUUUGAGGAAGAUUGCAAAGUAAGGUGGGUUGUUUUUCUUUUGUCCCAUCCUUCCCACCCCUUAAAUUAGAAGAAAAGGCCCCCAAGCGUGCAGCACCAGGUGGACGUUUGGAAGCUGCGAGUGGAAUCUCGUUUAAAAACUUCCGGCCCCACGCACACCAAGUAUCCAUCUUCGUCGUAGUUGGGGUGAGGAAGAGUGUGACUUCCCUACCCAGAGUCUGGUUGAGCACGGAUCCCGCCGAGGAGAGAAGGGUCCCGGCCGGGGGGAAGGUCCCUCUUUCUGGGACAAAGCGAUCCUUAAUUGUGGCCACCUUCCAAAGUCCGGGGCGAAUUCGCUACGCGCGUCUGCCCGGGCGGCGCUUGGUGGGUAGUCCCGCUUCCACCAAAACUCUGUGUUUCCUUUCUCUCAAAAUAAAACUCAACAAGCCAUAAAGCUUCCGACGCCGGUGGAGAAGGCGCCGCGGAUUUAUGGCCCCUGAAUUCCCUACUCUCUAAUUAUCCUUGUUUUUACUUGACUUAUGGGUAGUGACCAAUAAAAUCAUUUUCCAUUUUG